rnacentral:rRNA from 1 species
CNGGAUCGCAGCCUACCAUGCAAGUCGAACGGGAUUUAUCAGCUUGCUGAUAAUGAGAGUGGCGCACGGGUGAGUAACGCGUAUGCAACCUACCUUUUACAGUGGGAUAGCCCAGAGAAAUUUGGAUUAAUACCGCAUAGUAUGCACGAUCGGCAUCGGUUGUGUAUUAAACAUUUAUGGGUAAGAGAUGGGCAUGCGUUCUAUUAGUUAGUUGGAGUGGUAACGGCACCCCAAGACAGCGAUAGAUAGGGGCCCUGAGAGGGGGAUCCCCCACACUGGUACUGAGACACGGACCAGACUCCUACGGGAGGCAGCAGUGAGGAAUAUUGGACAAUGGGCGCAAGCCUGAUCCAGCCAUGCCGCGUGCAGGAAGACGGCCCUAUGGGUUGUAAACUGCUUUUAUACAGGAAGAAACACCCCCACGUGUGGGGGCUUGACGGUACUGUAGGAAUAAGGAUCGGCUAACUCCGUGCCAGCAGCCGCGGUAAUACGGAGGAUCCAAGCGUUAUCCGGAAUCAUUGGGUUUAAAGGGUCCGUAGGUGGACGAUUAAGUCAGAGGUGAAAUCCUGCAGCUCAACUGUAGAAUUGCCUUUGAUACUGGUUGUCUUGAAUCAUUGUGAAGUGGUUAGAAUAUGUGGUGUAGCGGUGAAAUGCAUAGAUAUCACAUAGAAUACCGAUUGCGAAGGCAGAUCACUAACAAUGCAUUGACACUGAUGGACGAAAGCGUGGGGAGCGAACGGGAUUAGAUACCCCGGUAGUCCACGCCGUAAACGAUGGAUACUAGCUGUCCGGCCUUCGGGCUGGGUGGCUAAGCGAAAGUGAUAAGUAUCCCACCUGGGGAGUACGUUCGCAAGAAUGAAACUCAAAGGAAUUGACGGGGGCCCGCACAAGCGGUGGAGCAUGUGGUUUAAUUCGAUGAUACGCGAGGAACCUUACCAGGGCUUAAAUGUGGAUUGACAGGACCAGAGACGGUCCCUCCUUCGGGCGAUCCACAAGGUGCUGCAUGGUUGUCGUCAGCUCGUGCCGUGAGGUGUCAGGUUAAGUCCUAUAACGAGCGCAACCCCUGUUUGUUUAGUUUGCCCCACCCGAAAGCUCAUCUUCUCCGGGGAAAAC